rnacentral:rRNA from 1 species
AAAUUGAAGAGUUUGAUCAUGGCUCAGAUUGAACGCUGGCGGCAGGCCUAACACAUGCAAGUCGAGCGGUAGCACAGAGAGCUUGCUCUCGGGUGACGAGCGGCGGACGGGUGAGUAAUGUCUGGGAAACUGCCUGAUGGAGGGGGAUAACUACUGGAAACGGUGGCUAAUACCGCAUAAUGUCGCAAGACCAAAGUGGGGGACCUUCGGGCCUCAUGCCAUCAGAUGUGCCCAGAUGGGAUUAGCUAGUAGGUGGGGUAACGGCUCACCUAGGCGACGAUCCCUAGCUGGUCUGAGAGGAUGACCAGCCACACUGGAACUGAGACACGGUCCAGACUCCUACGGGAGGCAGCAGUGGGGAAUAUUGCACAAUGGGCGCAAGCCUGAUGCAGCCAUGCCGCGUGUGUGAAGAAGGCCUUCGGGUUGUAAAGCACUUUCAGCGGGGAGGAAGGCGUUAAGGUUAAUAACCUUGGCGAUUGACGUUACCCGCAGAAGAAGCACCGGCUAACUCCGUGCCAGCAGCCGCGGUAAUACGGAGGGUGCAAGCGUUAAUCGGAAUUACUGGGCGUAAAGCGCACGCAGGCGGUCUGUCAAGUCGGAUGUGAAAUCCCCGGGCUCAACCUGGGAACUGCAUUCGAAACUGGCAGGCUAGAGUCUUGUAGAGGGGGGUAGAAUUCCAGGUGUAGCGGUGAAAUGCGUAGAGAUCUGGAGGAAUACCGGUGGCGAAGGCGGCCCCCUGGACAAAGACUGACGCUCAGGUGCGAAAGCGUGGGGAGCAAACAGGAUUAGAUACCCUGGUAGUCCACGCCGUAAACGAUGUCGAUUUGGAGGUUGUGCCCUUGAGGCGUGGCUUCCGGAGCUAACGCGUUAAAUCGACCGCCUGGGGAGUACGGCCGCAAGGUUAAAACUCAAAUGAAUUGACGGGGGCCCGCACAAGCGGUGGAGCAUGUGGUUUAAUUCGAUGCAACGCGAAGAACCUUACCUGGUCUUGACAUCCACAGAACUUUCCAGAGAUGGAUUGGUGCCUUCGGGAACUGUGAGACAGGUGCUGCAUGGCUGUCGUCAGCUCGUGUUGUGAAAUGUUGGGUUAAGUCCCGCAACGAGCGCAACCCUUAUCCUUUGUUGCCAGCGGUCCGGCCGGGAACUCAAAGGAGACUGCCAGUGAUAAACUGGAGGAAGGUGGGGAUGACGUCAAGUCAUCAUGGCCCUUACGACCGUGGCUACACGUGCUACAAUGGCAUAUACAAAGAGAAGCGACCUCGCGAGAGCAAGCGGACCUCAUAAAGUAUGUCGUAGUCCGGAUUGAGUCUGCAACUCGACUCCAUGAAGUCGGAAUCGCUAGUAAUCGUAGAUCAGAAUGCUACGGUGAAUACGUUCCGGCCUUGUACACACCGCCCGUCACACCAUGGGAGUGGGUUGCAAAAGAAGUAGGUAGCUUAACCUUCGGGAGGGCGCUUACCACUUUGUGAUUCAUGACUGGGGUGAAGUCGUAACAAGGUAACCGUAGGGGAACCUGCGGUUGGAUCACCUCCUUACCUUAAAGAA